UACGGGGGGAGCAAGCGUUGUUCGGAUUUACUGGGCGUAAAGGGCUCGUAGGCGGCCAACUAAGUCAGACGUGAAAUCCCCAGGCUUAACCUGGGAACUGCGUCUGAUACUGGAUGGCUUGAAUUCGGGAGAGGGAUGCAGAAUUCCAGGUGUAGCGGUGAAAUGCGUAGAUAUCUGGAGGAAUACCGGUGGCGAAGGCGGCAUCCUGGACCGAGAUUGACGCUGAUGAGCGAAAGCUAGGGGAGCAAACGGG
rnacentral:rRNA from 1 species